AUACGGAGGGGGUUAGCGUUGUUCGGAAUUACUGGGCGUAAAGCGUACGUAGGCGGAUUGGAAAGUUGGGGGUGAAAUCCCGGGGCUCAACCCCGGAACUGCCUCCAAAACUUCCAAUCUAGAGAUCGAGAGAGGUGAGUGGAAUUCCAAGUGUAGAGGUGAAAUUCGUAGAUAUUUGGAGGAACACCAGUGGCGAAGGCGGCUCACUGGCUCGAUACUGACGCUGAGGUGCGAAAGCGUGGGGAGCAAACAGGAUUAGAAACCCUAGUAGUCC
rnacentral:rRNA from 1 species